CCUGUUAUAUGACUAACAGUAACCUAGGGAUAGUGCAUAAUUGGCAACGAUUUUGUGCGGAGCUUCCUGACAAUGUACCCCCGAUAAGGUUAUUAAUACUGUGAAGUAUUAAUAAGAGACUCGAAACGACCAUUGGGUUGAGGGA
rfam:[Actinobacillus] muris strain Ackerman80-443D cont37, whole genome shotgun sequence.